rnacentral:lncRNA from 1 species
AAGAAAGAAAACAAAAUUGUGAUGUUUCUGAUUGGUGGUCCAAACUUUCCUGAGAACCACUGCAUUGAACAAGGAGAUGAUCUGAGACAGGUGAAACCAGUGGAAUGAAUGUUUAAGAAACCUGCAAGCUUGGGAAAAAAGGCCAGCAACUUGGAAAGAUUAAUCAAAAGGAUAUUUGGGAAGCUUAUCACCUCCACCUCUUGUUUGGUUUGUUUGUUUGUUUGUUUGUUUGUUUGUUUGUUUGUUUUUGAGACAGAGUCUCGCUCUCUCGCCCAGGCUUGAGUGCAGUAACAUGAUCUAGGCUCACUGCAGCCUCUGCCUCCCGGGUUCAAGGAUUCUCCUGCCUCAGCCUCCAGAGUAGCUGGGACUACAGGCACAUGCCACUGUGCCAGACUAAUUUUUGUAUUUUUCUUUUCUUUUUUAGUAGAGACAGGGUUUCACCAUGUUGGACAAGCUGGUCUCAAACUCUUGACCUCAGGUGAUCUGCCCGCCUUGGCCUCCCAAAGUGCUAGAAUUACAGGCAUGAGCCACCAAGCCCAGCCUCUCCUCCACCUCUUAAAGAGUGGUAAUCAGAUCUGUAUGGAUGCCACUUGGGUCAUUUGUCAUUUCACUUGAAGGCAAAGAAAUGUUUUUAACUGGUAAGUACAACCUUAUCAUAAAAGUCUAUUUUCUGUAAGAAAUACUGAAAAUAUAUUAAAGACCUCCCUUAGUGCCCUUCAGGACACAUAAGAAUCCUAAUAUACCAGGUUGGGAACCAUUGCUAUAGGAUUUGAAAGGAAUAGUAAAUAGUAUUAUCUGAAAGUGAAGAGGAAGAAGAGAUUCUACUUAAAAAUAUUUGUUAAAUGACUGAAAGAAAUAAAUCUAUGAAGUCGUUUAGAACAUGGUCCUUUAGGGAAAGACCUGCCUGCUGUAGAUUCCAUUCACAUUUUAUACGUUUGUAAUGCCUUACAAAGCUAGUCUUUGCACUUAAAGCUACUGCUAACUGAGCAAUAGAAUCACACCUCAUAAGGCUUAAACUGUGUAUUUAAAGGUUUUGAUAGGGGAUCCAGAAAUCUGAGUGAAACCCUGGGUUCUGCAGGUACACAUGGCUCAUGUAUAAGGCAUUUGAAGGGCUUGUGGCCUUGAUGGGGAACACUGUCAACUCUGAUCCUGUUUGUCUGAGGUUACUUGGGGUACAAGAUGAAGACAGAAGGGCGUGCCUCCCUUCUGGAACCAUCACGGCCAGCAGCCGCAUGUUGGGCAGCUGCUGAUACUCAGGGUGCCCAGGCGGGAGAUGGUGAGAGGCCAGCCCUAGCCAAAUUCCUUGCUGCUGCCAGAGGAAGCAGUCUUGCCAUGUGUGUCCACAGGGAUAAGAUUAGCUGCCGAGGUGGAGCUGAUAUCUGAGCGAGGCUCUCGAGGACACAUUCUGGAUAGAUCUCCAUAUGGGAGUUGGAUGACUGCCACCAGCCAGUCUUGGCAGUCCCCAGAAUUCUUCUGAAGUGGACAGUGGAAGAAGUGAAACAUUUGCCUGGCAGCUGGCAUCAAUGCAGUCUCUCUCUGGACAUGCAGAAGAAAAGGUUCAAAAGGAACUGAACCCAAACCAGUCUUUAUUUGAUUUUAGAUGGAAUUAAAACAUUUUUGUGGGUCUCGACAAGUAUUGCCAGCACUGCACCUGCCACCCUGAUAGUUAUUAAUUACCAAUUUACUUUGUGUGUGUGAGAGACGGGUCUCGCUCUGUCACCCAGGCUGGAGUGCAGUGGUGCGAUUCCGGCUCACUGCAACCUCCACCUCCCGGGCUCAAGCGAUUCUGCCACCUCAGCCUCUGAAGUAGCUGGGACUGCAGAUGUGCGCCACCAUGCCCAGCUAAUUUUUGUACUUUUUGUAGAGACGAGGUUACGCCAUGUUGGCCAGGCUGGUCUCCAACUCCUGAACUCAACCUAUCCUCUCACUGCAGCCUCUCAAGGUGGUGGGAUUACAGGCAUGAGCCACUACACCCCACCUGUUAAUUGCGUCUUUAUCUCAGUAGGUUGAAGUAUAUUUAUACAGCCUCUGCUCUGUGUCAAGUACUGAGCUGAGCUCAGCAGUUGCAAUGGCAGGAACACAGACCCAGCCCUAUUCCUUAUAUGGCUGACUCUCUAGUGGGAAAUAUGGACAUUAAACAAACGACCACCUAAAUAUAACACUGCAAACUGGAGUUCAUGGCAUGAACCAUGGAAUGCUAUCAAAGCACUGGGAUCCCAAUCUAAUCUGGGCAUCAGAGAAAGCUUCCCUGAGGAAUUAAAAUUUGGAUGAGGUCUCAAUAAUUAGUUGAUGAAUUAGGCAAACAGUGGGAGCAAGGAUGUUCCAGGCAGAGGCCAACUACAUGGGUCAGGUGCACAGGACAUAAACCGAGCCAUCAAGAAGCUUCCAAUGUGAAAAGAGAAUAAACCCAUAGAGACAAGCAAUGAAGUGCUGCCAUGAGACAGAUGUGUGGAGCAUUUGAACAAUGGGAAAGUGCUGCUAGGAGAGAGGUGGUGUUCAAUUCAAUGAAAGCAAUGUAGGAUGAGAUCUGUAAGGAAGACUAGAUAAGCCAAGAGGCAUGCAGAGGAUCUUAUCCAUUUUAGAGCCCUGGGGGCUAUUUACUGGAGUAGCUGAAGAUAGCACCGUGGACACAGGCUGAAAAGGAAGGAAUUGCUAUGAGCUCCAUGUGAGGCAUCAUAGAUGAGACCUAUGGAGCUAUCCAAGAUCAUAUCCUGACACAGUGGUCAAAAUAAAGAAGCAAGUGUGAGCAGUGGUGAGGUGAUGGCUCAUUUAAAGAAAAGCCAUGCCCUGCAGACUGGUCCCAAGCUGGAGACCCCUUUCUCUAAUUGUCUGAAGAAUCCCUUUGGCAGGCUGUGUAAUACGCAUGACUCCAAUCUCUUGAAGUCUCUAGAUGGAGGCCACAUCCCAUUGCCUUUACAAAACAUCCUCUUUAUCCAUGGAUGUUGAUACUUGAGAACUUAACAGAAAGAACUUCAUUCCUUCUGUGAAGAUCAGUGAAGCUCAUAUUAUUAUCUGACUACAGAACUGCUCAAUGUUCAUCCCAAAAAAGUAAGACUCCCUUAAAUAUCUGCAUAAGAUUCAUUUUCUGUGUUUUAUUUUCCUAAUUUUCUUCAAAGAAGAUGUGUUACUUUUGUUAAUAAAAUAUUAAAAAUGUAAACCAUGGAAUCAGGGAAGGAAAAUGGCAGAUAGGAGGCAGGACUAAAUUACAGCUGACACUCAGAGGGACAGAGCAGCAUGUGGAGACUCACGUUGUGAAUUUUUGCUCCAGAACUACUACUGCAGGAUUAUACCAGGAAAGCCAAGAGAAUCCACAGACCCUCUGAAGGAAGUGGAUAGCUCCUGCAGGACCCAGGAGACAGCCCAAAUACUACACAGCAAGAAGGUGCAAUCUAUGAACCAGAAAGUGGGCCCUCACCAGACACUGAAUCAGCUGUUUGUGUCUAGUGUCUUGACCUUGGACUUCCCAGCCACCAGAACUGCCAGAAAUAAAUUUCUAUUUUUUAUUAGUUAAAAAAAAGUAAGCCAUGUAGAUUAUUCAUUAACAUAUGAAGCAAAAUGGAAUCAUAAAAAUGAAACAUUCAUUACAAUUUUUUGGAAACUGCUAUUUGUUUUGUUUUGUUUUUGAGACUAAGCCUCGCUGUGUUGCUCAGGCUGGAGUGCACUGGCUGUUCACAGAUGUGACCAUGGCACGCUGCAUCUCAAACUCCUGGCCUCAAGUGAUCCUCCUGCCUCAGUCUCCUGAAGAGUUGGGACUACAGGGGUGUACCACCACACCCAGCCUUGUUUGUUUUUGAAGAUAAGAUCCAUAUCUGAAUUUUUUAAAUCAGUGACUGAGCAACAUAAAACAUGAGGAUUUCCCAGAUUGCCCUUCUUUUGUUGAAAAUAUUAAAAAGUGAUCUUAAAUGUAUGGAUACAUAUAAAACACUAAGAUUUCUCCAUUUGGUUUAUGUACUUCAUAAUAGCUUGUGACAUGCUCAAAAUAACAUGAUUUUUUUCAAUUAUUUCUUUUGCUCUUUUAAAAAUCACAUUUUAUUGAAUUUAUUCAUUCAUUCAUUUUGAACACCUAACAUAUACUAACAAAUGUGCCAAGUCCAGAAGAUUCAAGGCUGAAUCAGAGGACAUCCUUGACUUUAAAAAGCUGACAGACUAGAAGAGCCAAGCCUACAUGAAAAUAAAUAAAUGCAAUACGGACCAAAAGCACAAUUAUCGAAAUAUGUGCAGGGUAGAGGUGCUGAGCAGUGGGAAGAUACAGAAUAACUAAUGCCUGUUAGCUGCUUCUGUAUGUAUGCCAGGUAGUGUUCUAAGUGCUUUACUUACAUAUAUUAGCUCAUCGCCAACCUGUGAUCGUUUCCAUUAUCAUAUUGUUACACUCAUUUUAUAGAUGAGGGACUGAGACAAAGAGUGGUUGCCUAGCUUGCCCAAAGUCACUCAGCUAUACUGAGUGGCAGAACCAGGAUUUAAAUAAUAUGAACUCUGUGCUCUCAACCUCUACACAUUUGCUGUCCAGACUGUCCAGCAGACUGUCUAGGAAGAAAUGCAAAGCACUUUAAGCAGAGAGGGCAGCUUGGGCAAGGGCACUAGUGCAGGAAAGACACAAGCACCUUGUGGAGUCAAGCAGAUAGGAUACCAGAAGGCUGAGGAAUAUGCCACAUCAUAGGGAGGCUUGGAUCAGUUUUGGUAGACAAUGAGAGGACAUUGAAGGAUUUUAGUCAGAGGAGUGAUGGGGCAGAUCUGUUUCUUAAAAAGAUUAUUUUGACUGUGUUAGGGAGGAUGUGCUGCAGAGGAUCUGGAUGCAGGUGGGGAAGGGAGGAUGUGUUGCAGGAGGAUGUGUUGCAGAGGGAGGAUGUGCUGCAGAGGGUCUGGAUGCAGGUGGGGGAACCCCCUUUAGAGACGACUUCUCCCAGGUAAGAAAAGGCUGUAGCAGUGGAGUUGGAGAGAGAAGAAUGGACCAGAGCUAUUUUAAGGAAGACUAGGCCAGUGCUGGUUUUGAUUAGUGGAUGUCAAACUUAGUGGUCGUUUGGUAUUUUUACACGAAACCUUCAACAGAAUCAACAGUGUGCUUCAUGAAGGCAGAGCCCAGAUUUGUUUUUCUCGCCGUUGUACUCCCAAGACUUGGUAAUGUGCUCAGGAAAUGCUUAUUGAUUGAAUGAGUUAAUGAAUAAGUGAAUAAACCAAGAAGUAAAUAAAAAAAAGAAUGAAUCAAAGAAAUGACUCAGUAUUGGAUUAGACCAAGUGCAUAAGAGAAGAAGUUAAUGGACUCUCAAAUGACUUGCCGAAAAGAUUAAGUCAAUUUCUCUUUUCUUAUGCAAUACAUUUUGUGUCCAGGCCUUUCUUAUGAGUAUUGUGUGUGGAACAUAAAGCAACCAACUUAGCUCCACGAUUUAGCUAUUGGGAGACCCAUGAAAGAGCCUACCCAGCCCUGCCUGCCUCUGGGGGUCUCGGUCAUGUCAUGUGACUACAUCGCUUGGCUCUGUUUCCAAGUUCCCCACCUCUAACCUCUCUGGAGCUCACAUUCAUCUUUCAAAAACAUCACUUCUGUUAUAUCACCCAUCACUCACUCCCUUCACUACACAUCUCUUUGCCCUGCUUUAGUUUUCAUCUGAGCACUUACUGUUUCCUGACAUUAUGUCAUUCAUUCAUUCAUUCAUUUAUUCAUUUUAUUUGGUUCUAUCUCUCUGUUAGUUUCCUAUUGCUGCAGUAGCAAAUUACCAUAAACUUAGUGGCUGAAAACAGAUUUAUCUUGCAGUUCUUGAGGACAGAAAUCUGAAAUGGGCCUCACUGAGAUAAAGUCACUGUGGCCAGGGCUGCAUUAUUUCUGGAAGCUCCAGGGGACAAUCUGUUUCCUUACCUCUUUCAGCUUCUAGAGGCUGCCCUCAUUUCUUAUUUUGUGGACCCCUUUGAUCUUUAAAGCCAGCAAAGGCAGCUUGAGUCUUUCUCAUGAUGCUGUCUCUCUGGUCUCACUCUUCUGCCUUCCGCUUCCCCAUUCAAGGACUCUUGUGAUUAUAUUGGGCUUGCCUAGAUAAAGCAGGAUAAUCUUAUUUUAAGGUCAGCUGAUUAGCAACUUUAAUUCUAGCUGCAAUUUUAAUUCCCCCUUGCCAUGUAACAACAUAUUUAUAGAUUACAAGGAUUAGGAUGUGGAUGUAUUUUUUUUUUUUUUUUUUGAGACGGUGUCUUGCUCUGUCACCCAGGCUGGAGUGCAGUGGCACAAUCUCGGCUCACUGAAACCUCCACCUCCCGAGUUCAAGCAAUUCUCCUGCCUCAGUCUCCCAAGUAGCUGGGAUUACAGGCAUGCGCCACCAAACCCAGCUAAUUUUUGUAUUUUUAGUAGAGACAGGGUUUCACCAUGUUGGCAGGCUGAUCUUGAACUCCUGACCUUGUGAUCCACCCGCCUCGGCCUCCCAAAGUGCUGGGAUUACAGGCAUGAGCCACCGCACCUGGCCCAGGAUAUGGAUGUCUUUGAGGGGCCAUUUCCUGCUUAGCACAAUCUGCCUCUUAUAGAAUUUAAGUCUCUUGAGAGCAAAACUUUAUCUACUUUGCUCUCUACAGUACAGCCAUUGAUUAGAAGAGGGCCAGUAUAUUGUAAGCAUGCAGUAAAUAUGUUUUGAAUAAAUCAGCAAAUCUUGUCCUUCUUUUUCACAAUCCAUCUCAUACCAAGGCAGAAUAAUUUUCCUUCAUAUCAGCAUGGAUCAUAAUAUACUCUUUGAUAUGGUUUGGCUGUAUUCCCACCCAAAUCUUAUCUUGAAUUGUAGUUCCCAUAAUCCCCAUAUGUCAUGGGAGAGAGCCGGUGGGAGGUAAUGAAUCAUGAGAGAGGUUACCCUCAUGCUGCUGUUCUCAUAAUAGUGAGUGAGUUCUUACAAGAUCUGACGAUUUUAUAAGGGGCUUCCCACCUUUUGCUCUGCACUUCUCUUUCCUGCUGCCAUGUGAAGAAGUACGUGUUUGCUUCCCCUUCUGCCAUGAUUGUAAGUUUCCUGAGGCCUCCCCAGCACUGUGGAACUGUGAGUC